GAGGUGCUGCUGCAGGGUCUGGAGAUGAUGGCGCGGGGCCGGGAGUGGUACCAGCAGCAGCUGCAGCGCGUGCAGGAGCGCCAGCGCCGCCUGGGCCAGAGCAGGGCCAGCGCCGACUUUGGGGCUGAGGGGAGCCCCCGCCUGCUGGGACAGCUGCUGCCCAAGGGGCAGGAGGUGGCCCGGUGCCUGGGGGAGCUGCUGGCUGCAGCCUGUGCUGGCAGGGCGCUGGCCUCCUCCUCCGUGGGGGCCCUGGGCCCUGUCGCGGCCCCUGCGUCACCCUCGGCCCCAGGCUGGCAGCAGCAGACCAUUCUCAUGCUGAAAGAGCAGAACCGGCUGCUCACCCAGGAGGUGACGGACAAGAGCGAGCGCAUCACGCAGCUGGAGCAGGAGAAAUCCGCCCUCAUCAAGCAGCUGUUCGAGGCCCGCGCCCUCACCCAGCAGGACGCUGGGCCUCUGGACUCCACCUUCAUCUAGCCUGCCACAGGCACGGACACGGGGCCCCGCAGCCCGGCCUGGCCCUCCUCCCCAGGCGGGCACUUCCUUGUGCCCCACCUCUGAGGCUGAGGACGCCCUGGCCAGCCCGGACACCCGGACAUCGCCUGCCCUUCUCCCUUUCAGUCUGGGCUCCUCCAAGCUCUCCCCAGGCCUCCUCCCACCGCAGGGUGUCCUGAGGCCUCAGCAGACUCCACCUUGGUCUCGGGCUGACCUGGGUGGGACUCCAACGAGCCCGCACAGCCUGAAGCUGCUGCUGCUGCCAUUGUCCUAAAAGGCACUGGUCACACCGCACUGCACUUCCAAGAGCGGCCAGCAGAGGGAGCUGCGCGCACCGGUCGCCACCACCCGGCCGCCCAAAGGGCUGGGGUUUGGGGUAUCCCGCGGCCUGGGGCGCGCCGGACCCGGGGGUCCAAGGGCCUCUUCCCCGCUCCAGAAAGGAAGCUGUUCCUCAGCCAGGACCAGCGGAGGUGGCCUCCAGGAGGGAUCUACUUGUGUCCGGUUCCAGGGGAGCCCCCGACCCAGGAAUGGUGUCCUGGAUUUGUGCUGGCCUGCUUGCUCUCCCCACAGACCUUAGGUGCUAAACAAGGGAGUCAGCUGUCUUCCCUCCUGGGCAAGAUCACCGAGCACCCUGUGACCCAGGCCCAGAGCCUGCGGCCUGCCCGGUGACCUGGCUGGGGCUGUGGUCACCAGGGGGGGCGCCCAUGUGCUGAGCACCUUACCCAGGCCCCUCCCACCAGAUUCAAGGUUCUGCAGGUAUGCGGACCUGCCAAACCCCCCAUCUUCCCACUCUCAGCUUGGCCCUGGGUCGGGGACUCAGGACUCUGGAAGGGGCUGGCAGAGGGUCCUGUUGGGGGGUCAUGGCCUGUGCCCACCACCAGGCCUGCUCUAGGGGGGCCGCUACGCAGCUGGGCCUGCCAAUGGCAUCUCAGGCGGGGCGGUGCCCCCACUACCGCCCCCCAGGCUAAGAGGACAAUAACAUUUCAGGCAGGCUGAGUGGUUCUGGGCCCUGGUCCCAUGUGGGCGUGUAUGGAGCACAGCAUGGAGCCAGCUUGAUCACAGCGGAGGGGCACUGGGUGCAGGGUGGCAGCUCCUGCCAGCCCCACCCUGGGCCACACCAGCAGCAACCUGGCUGAGGCCGCUCCCCACACGGCCCUCGGGUUGUUCCCGUCAGGCCCAAGUCCGCCCAGGACAUGUGCUCCCCGCUCCGGAUGGGAGUGGGAGACAGGAAGGAGACAUGGUCCCAAAGGCCAGAUGUCACCUGCAGCCCCAAGCAGCCCUGCGGUGUGGUCAUUAGACCAGUGUCCACCCAGGAGAGGUCCUCCCGCCACCAGGACCUUCCCAAGGCUGCCUUUCCCCUGGUUCUUGGGUCCGUUCCCCUCUUCCAUCCAUGGCCGGUCCCCCACACCAGCCUGGGCCCUGAGCCACCCUCACCAGGGGUCCCUCUGCUUGCAGGCUCUCCAAAUGGCCCUCGCUAGUUCCAGAGCUAAAAACUGCCCCUCCCCUGCCCCUAAUCCUCCAGGACGCAGGGCGGGCUCAAGCCCUGAGCAGGCUCAGCCGUUCCCCCCAGACCCCUGCCCCCCUGCCACCAGCGAGGCUUGCCCACUCUGGGCUGUGCAAUUGUCAGGGGCCGAAACAGCAAAGGCGGCAGGACUUGGCCCUGAGGGCGUCUGCUUCCGCCCGGGUCUUUACGGAGCUUGGGCAGCUGAACAGCAGGAGCCCAGGGGUGCCUCUCCCCGCCCCCCGGACGCCGACCUUCAGCUGCAGGGCCAAUGAGGAGUAAACCGGAGACUCAGGGAGAGGCUUCUGGCGGCGCUGGCCUUCCACGCAGGGCAAAGACCUCUUCUUUUACAGCCUGAAACCUGGCUGCAUGUGUGGCUCGAGACAUCAAAGGGAGAAUUCUACCUGGCCCCAGGUUGGCAGCGGCCGGCAGAAGCAAGAGGCGCCCUGCCUGGAGCGGCGGUUCUUAGGGGACGUUGGGGCCAUAAGACUUGGCGGAGCCAUCCUUGCACUGCAGGCUGUUUAGCAACAUCCUGGCCUCCAUCCACAAGGUGCCAGAAACACACACACACACUCUCUCAUCCCUGACAACCAAAACGCUGCUGAGGCCUGGGGGCGGCAGGGGCAAUGGCCCUUAGCUGGGCAUCUACUCCAGAGCAGUGCAGCUCCACCAGGCCACCAAGGAUUUCCUGUGGAUCAAGAACCAAGGAAAAGGAGCAUCUCCAGCUUAAAAAACUUUUCACAAACACCAUAAGGAAAGCCAUGAGAGCCAGCAGAAACAGCAGAUUCGAUAGCCAUUGCAGAUAUUCAAAUAACCGGAGAAUAUAACUAUGUUUUGUAUGUCUGAAGAAAUAAAAAAGUCUUUG
rnacentral:lncRNA from 1 species